rnacentral:lncRNA from 1 species
AACGACGGCUCUAGAACCUGAGUCAUGUUUACCAGAAAGAGAUAGGACAUGCGCUCAUCCUGCCUGGCCAAUCAUGUAACGCCAGCUACUCCUGUAACAGACAAAGAACUGCCUGUAUAUAAGCCGCCAUACUCCUUUGUUAUUACUGAAUAUUCAGAGAAGACAUCACAAGACCUCCCUCUUUCAUGUCUGAAUUCUGUUAGAGUCAAGCAAGAAAUCUUU